AUUGAACGCUGGCGGCAGGCUUAACACAUGCAAGUCGAGCGAGCGGCGGACGGGUGAGUAAUGUCUGGGAAACUGCCUGAUGGAGGGGGAUAACUACUGGAAACGGUAGCUAAUACAGCAUACCAUCAGAUGUGCCCAGAUGGGAUUAGCUAGUAGGUGGGGUAAUGGCUCACCUAGGCGCCGAUCCCUAGCUGGUCUGAGGGGAUGACCGGCAACACGGGAACUAGGACACGGUCCAGACUCCUACGGGAGGCAGCAGUGGGGAAUAUUGCACAAUGGGGGAAAGCCUGAUGCAGCCAUGCCGCGUGUGGGAAGAAGGCCUUCGGGUUGUAAAGCACGUUCAGCGAGGAGGCGUUACUCGCAGAAGAAGCACCGGCUAACUCCGUGCCAGCAGCCGCGGUAAAC
rnacentral:rRNA from 1 species